rnacentral:rRNA from 1 species
ACUUAAAUUGAAGAGUUUGAUCAUGGCUCAGAUUGAACGCUGGCGGCAGGCCUAACACAUGCAAGUCGAGCGGUAGCACAGAGAGCUUGCUCUCGGGUGACGAGCGGCGGACGGGUGAGUAAUGUCUGGGAAACUGCCUGAUGGAGGGGGAUAACUACUGGAAACGGUAGCUAAUACCGCAUAACGUCGCAAGACCAAAGUGGGGGACCUUCGGGCCUCAUGCCAUCAGAUGUGCCCAGAUGGGAUUAGCUAGUAGGUGGGGUAACGGCUCACCUAGGCGACGAUCCCUAGCUGGUCUGAGAGGAUGACCAGCCACACUGGAACUGAGACACGGUCCAGACUCCUACGGGAGGCAGCAGUGGGGAAUAUUGCACAAUGGGCGCAAGCCUGAUGCAGCCAUGCCGCGUGUGAAGAAGGCCUUCGGGUUGUAAAGCACUUUCAGCGGGGAGGAAGGCGGUGAGGUUAAUAACCUCAUCGAUUGACGUUACCCGCAGAAGAAGCACCGGCUAACUCCGUGCCAGCAGCCGCGGUAAUACGGAGGUGCAAGCGUUAAUCGGAAUUACUGGGCGUAAAGCGCACGCAGGCGGUCUGUCAAGUCGGAUGUGAAAUCCCCGGGCUCAACCUGGGAACUGCAUUCGAAACUGGCAGGCUAGAGUCUUGUAGAGGGGGGUAGAAUUCCAGGUGUAGCGGUGAAAUGCGUAGAGAUCUGGAGGAAUACCGGUGGCGAAGGCGGCCCCCUGGACAAAGACUGACGCUCAGGUGCGAAAGCGUGGGGAGCAAACAGGAUUAGAUACCCUGGUAGUCCACGCUGUAAACGAUGUCGAUUUGGAGGUUGUGCCCUUGAGGCGUGGCUUCCGGAGCUAACGCGUUAAAUCGACCGCCUGGGGAGUACGGCCGCAAGGUUAAAACUCAAAUGAAUUGACGGGGGCCCGCACAAGCGGUGGAGCAUGUGGUUUAAUUCGAUGCAACGCGAAGAACCUUACCUGGUCUUGACAUCCACAGAACUUUCCAGAGAUGGAUUGGUGCCUUCGGGAACUGUGAGACAGGUGCUGCAUGGCUGUCGUCAGCUCGUGUUGUGAAAUGUUGGGUUAAGUCCCGCAACGAGCGCAACCCUUAUCCUUUGUUGCCAGCGGUCCGGCCGGGAACUCAAAGGAGACUGCCAGUGAUAAACUGGAGGAAGGUGGGGAUGACGUCAAGUCAUCAUGGCCCUUACGACCAGGGCUACACACGUGCUACAAUGGCAUAUACAAAGAGAAGCGACCUCGCGAGAGCAAGCGGACCUCAUAAAGUAUGUCGUAGUCCGGAUUGGGGAGUCUGCAACUCGACUCCAUGAAGUCGGAAUCGCUAGUAAUCGUAGAUCAGAAUGCUACGGUGAAUACGUUCCCGGGCCUUGUACACACCGCCCGUCACACCAUGGGAGUGGGUUGCAAAAGAAGUAGGUAGCUUAACCUUCGGGAGGGCGCUUACCACUUUGUGAUUCAUGACUGGGGUGAAGUCGUAACAAGGUAACCGUAGGGGAACCUGCGGUUGGAUCACCUCCUUACCUUAAAGAA